UCUCGAAGUUCAUUGUUUUCCAAACCCAGCAGGAAACAGAUCGUCUCGGCUUCGCAUCGUCGGACCGAUCGGAUUCAGGGAUCGCUUCAUUCUUUGUUAGAGGUCGGUUCUUACCUCCUCGGUUAAAGAUCAGACUCACGGUGUAGCAGUUCAACCAGAGAGGACCCAAAACUAGGCAGAAGGUGGCCUAUGCUUGGUCAGGUCAAGAACAUGUUGAUUACAGAGUAGUAGCAACCAAAGAAGGACGAAAAAAAUGCAGAGGAUGUGUGUGUGAAGUCGCAUUAAGUACCUUGAUGGCUUUGCAUUGAUGAUCUUGAUCAUGGCUGAUGAAGGGCGCGAGAAGAACUAACGGAUUUCCCUCCUCCGGGAGCUCCGGUUCCGUGGAUGUUAUCUUGCCGCCACCGUAGCCAGCCCUGACAACAAGUGCUCUCCCAUCACUAACAGAGCUCUGCAGUUUGACCGAGACCUUACAAACUACUGUCUCUCUGCUCAGAAAUCUGAAUGUAAG